AGUUGACCUCGGAUCAGGUAGGAAUACCCGCUGAACUUAAGCAUAUCAAUAAGCGGAGGAAAAGAAACCAACAGGGAUUGCCUCAGUAACGGCGAGUGAAGCGGCAACAGCUCAAAUUUGAAAUCUGGCCCUAGGCCCGAGUUGUAAUUUGCAGAGGAUGCUUUUGGCGAGGUGCCUUCCGAGUUCCCUGGAACGGGACGCCAUAGAGGGUGAGAGCCCCGUCUGUCGACACCGAGCCUCUGUAAAGCUCCUUCGACGAGUCGAGUAGUUGGAAUGCUGCUCUAAAUGGGAGGUAUAUGUCUUCUAAGCUAAAUACCGGCCAGAGACCGAUAGCGCACAAGUAGAGUGAUCGAAAGAUGAAAAGCACUUUGAAAAGAGAGUUAAAUAGCACGUGAAAUUGUUGAAAGGGAAGCGUUUACGACCAGACUUGGGCCGGUUGAUCAUCCAGCGUUCUCGCUGGUGCACUCUGCCGGCCCAGGCCAGCAUCAGUUCGCCCCGGGGGAUAAAGGCGGCGGGAAUGUGGCUCCUCGGAGUGUUAUAGCCCGCCGUGCAAUACCCUGAGGUGGACUGAGGUUCGCGCUCUGCAAGGAUGCUGGCGUAAUGGUCGUCAACGACCCGUCUUGAAACACGGACCAAGGAGUCGUCUUUGUAUGCGAGUGUUCGGGUGUAAAACCCCUACGCGUAAUGAAAGUGAACGCAGGUGAGAGCUUCGGCGCAUCAUCGACCGAUCCUGAUGUUCUCGGAUGGAUUUGAGUAAGAGCAUACGGGGCCGGACCCGAAAGAAGGUGAACUAUGCCUGUAUAGGGUGAAGCCAGAGGAAACUCUGGUGGAGGCUCGCAGCGGUUCUGA
rnacentral:rRNA from 1 species